rnacentral:misc_RNA from 1 species
UAAUAUAAUUGCAAGCUCCUAACUUGCAGCCAGAAAUCCUUAAUGCAGUUAAGGUACGAGCAGUAAAGACAGUUUGAGGCAAAUAGUAACUACUAUUUUUCUUGCUUGGGAUAUAGAGAUCUAACUCUUGUAUGUUGCUUUUAGUUGUAGUACCUAUCCACUGAUUCAAAAGAUCAGAUAAUUCCAAAUUAUAGGAGGUUAAAUGAAGCAUGAAUUUCUGUAUGCUAGAUUUUUGCUCAAUGCGGCUCUGCAGGGUGCCAUCAACAAAAUUCAGAAACAUUUCAUUCUUCAUCUUUAUUGCCGCAUCUUUUCUCUUUUUGAUCCUUUGAUAGAGCCUCUUAGAGCGAUA